rnacentral:tRNA from 4 species
GCUAGUGUGGCUCAGGGGUAGAGCAGCUCACUCGUAAUGAGCAGGCCGUGGGUUCGAUUCCCACCACUAGCUCCA